rfam:Candidatus Zambryskibacteria bacterium RIFCSPHIGHO2_01_FTLL_46_30 rifcsphigho2_01_scaffold_30001, whole genome shotgun sequence.
GGAGGCGUGGCUGAGUGGUUGAAGGCACCGCAUUCGAAAUGCGGCAGACUCGCAAGGGUCUCAGAGGUUCAAAUCCUCUCGCCUCCG